AUUGAACGCUGGCGGCAUGCUUUACACAUGCAAGUCGAACGGUAACAGGCUGCAAGGUGCUGACGAGUGGCGAACGGGUGGGUAAUGCAGCGGAACGUGCCCAGUCGUGGGUGAUAACUCUUCGAAAGAAUAGCUAAUACCGCAUACGAUCUAUGGAUGAAAUCGGGUGACGGUAAGGCCUCGCGCGAUUGGAUCGGCCGAUGUCAGAUUAGGUAGUUGGUGGGGUAAAGGCUCACCAAGCCAACGAUCUGUAGCUGGUCUGAGAGGAGGACCAGUCACACUAGAACUGAGACACGGCCCAGACUCAUACGGGAGGCAGCAGUGGGGAAUGUUGGACAAUGGGCGGAAGGCUGAUCCAGCAAUGCCGCGUGGAGGAAGAAGGCCUUCGGGUUGUAAACUGCUUCUGUACGGGAAGAAACGGAUCGGGUUAAUCGCGGGAGCUAAUGACGGUACCGUAAGAAUAAGCACCGGCUAACUACGUG
rnacentral:rRNA from 1 species